rnacentral:rRNA from 1 species
CAGCAGCCACGGGAAUACGUAGGUGGCAAGCGUUGUCCGGAAUUAUUGGGCGUAAAGGGCUCGCAGGCGGUUUCUUAAGUCUGAUGUGAAAGCCCCCGGCUCAACCGGGGAGGGUCAUUGGAAACCGGGAAACUUGAGUGCAGAAGAGGAGAGUGGAAUUCCACGUGUAGCGGUGAAAUGCGUAGAGAUGUGGAGGAACACCAGUGGCGAAGGCGACUCUCUGGUCUGUAACUGACGCUGAGGAGCGAAAGCGUGGGGAGCGAACAGGAUUAGAUACCCGAGUAGUCCCUGUCUCUUAUAC